rnacentral:rRNA from 1 species
UGCGACCUACGGGAAGCAGCAGUGGGGAAUAUUGCACAAUGGGGGAAACCCUGAUGCAGCGACGCCGCGUGAGUGAAGAAGUAUCUCGGUACGUAAAGCUCUAUCAGCAGGGAAGAAAAAAAGUCUUUGGCUUUGGACGGUACCUGACUAAGAAGCCCCGGCUAACUACGUGCCAGCAGCCGCGGUAAUACGCAGGGGGCGAGCGUUAUCCGGAUUUACUGGGUGUAAAGGGAGCAUAGACGGUUCUGCAAGUCUGAAGUGAAAGCCCGUGGCUUAACCGCGGAACGGCUUUGGAAACUGUGGAA